UGCUGAAUUAGCUCAGUUGGUAGAGCAUCUCCCUCGUAAAGAGAAGGUCGCCAGUUCGACUCUGGCAUUCAGCAUCAG
rnacentral:tRNA from 1 species